CCUACGGGUGACAGCAGUGAGGAAUAUUGGUCAAUGGGCGUAAGCCUGAACCAGCCAAGUCGCGUGAGGGAUGACUGCUCUACGGUUUGUAAACCUCUUUUAUAAGGGAAUAAAGUGCGGGACGCGUCCCGCUUCGGAUGUACCUUAUGAAUAAGGAUCGGCCAACUCCGUGCCAGCAGCCGCGGUAAUACGGAGGAUCCGAGCGUUAUCCGGAUUUAUUGGGUUUAAAGGGUGCGUAGGCGGGCUUUUAAGUCAGGUGUGAAAGUCUGGGGCUCAACCGUAGAAUUGCAGUUGAAACUGGGAGUCUUGAGUAGGGUAGAGGCAGGCGGAAUGCGUGGUGUAGCGGUGAAAUGCAUAGAUAUCACGAAGAACCCCGAUUGCGAAGGCAGCUUACUAAACCGUCACUGACGCUGAUGCACGAAAGCGUGGGGAUCGAACAGGAUUAGAUACCCGAGUAGUC
rnacentral:rRNA from 1 species